CUUUCUGUACCUCGAGACAUUUCCUUUGGGAAGAAUUUUAUACCCAGAGACCCCCUUAGCGAGGCACUGUUGCAUGCGGGGGCGCGGUGAAUUUCAGCGCAAGACGCUGCAUGUGGACGGAAAGCAAAAACCGCGGGCACUUGCAGUCGCCAGCAAAGUCAGUUUGUGAAUGCUGCCGUGGGGAUGGCCCUGCCAGAGAAGGAAGAUGAAGUUUGCCGCGGGCAGGCUGAGUGGGACCUCUGGCUGGGAUGCGUGCGGGUGGUUACCAAGCCCGCCCUUCGCUCGCCACGGCUGACUUUCCCGCCGGAGCCGGCGCCGGGGCGCCUGGUCCCCGCGCUGCACCCGGCGCCGGUCUGGAGAUAGCCCUUGGCUGUGGGCGGCGGGAGUCCUCCUGAAAGUGCGCCUUUUCGCCGCCGGGACUUAGCUGCUGGGGAGCGAGCGCGCCGAGUGCGCACUGCGUCGAUCGACUCCGCCCGGGCCGGGGGUACCCACCCGAGCCUGCUCCCCGAGGCCUCGGGUUCGAAGCCUCUCCCGUGGCGGAGGAGAGGUUGGGAUUUGAGCAGCAGCCGUUCGGUUAAGGAAGGAGUUUCUGAAACUCUCGGGAAAGCGAAGUCCCGGGGCGUGGAAAAUAAUCGAGCCGACGGUGGGUUUUCCAAACUUGAUCUUUGCUCUGGGACAUUUUUUCUGCCCUCUCCCCCAGUGCCCUAGCCCCCACCCGGGGCAAGAGUUCUAAGGGCUAGGGUAACUAACUUCAUCAGUCCUUUCUCUCUCUGCCCACCGCCCCCCAAAACUUUCAGACCAGAAAAAUACAAAUAACCCCUAGGAGUGGUUCCUGCGGGCGCGUUCAGGCGUCCCCAUCCCAACCAACACCCACACCACCACCACCACCACCACCACCACCACCACUCCGUCCCUCCCACCUCCUGGUAGAGGAGGGACUGGGAACCUGAUCUCCGGGCUCCUGCCCCAAACGUUUCCCCAUCAAUAAUGCUGAUACCAUCGAUGUGCCUCCACCCCCGCCCCCCGAGCACCGCCGCCGUCUUUUCGCCGCUUUUUGCUUGACAGAAGAAAACGAAACCUCCCGUAGUGCCCUCCUACCCUUGGCCAGGGGCCCGCGGGGACUGGGGCCUGGGGCAGAGCAAGCAGGGGCACCCGUAGGGCGAGGGGAGAGGGGGGCGUCCUUCAGUUCUGGGGUGCUCAACCAGCGCCGGCGGAAAGAGAAGGAGGGUCCCGGGCGCAGGCCAGGCCUCAUUCCAGGCUCCAUCCCAAACCUGGGGUCAGACUGGGCCGGCAUAAGAUAUAUUUUUGCGAGUGGGAGAACCAGGCCUCGGAAAGGGGAGGCUCGACACCCUCUCCCCUGCCCAGGAUCGGGAUGACGCGGGGGCGGUGCGGCGAAACCCCUUAUUUGGGGACUCAGCGGUGGCCCGUGGCCUUGGGGCACAGUCCUUCGGUCCGCCAACCCACCAAGGCGUUCUAGGUCUUGGGAAAACCGAGGAGACGCAUUAGUAGAAACAUGGCCAUCGAGCCCCCAAAACCUCUCCCGGCCACAGAGGGAAAGAAAACAAACAAGAAAUUAGCGGGGGACGCUGCGCACAGAGCGAGACGCCCGCCUCUACGCCGUCGAGGACGCAAAAGAACGAAAAAAGUUAUUAAAGUUUGGAUCCCCCCAAUUAAUUCGUCUCUGCUCGCCCAUUUUUAAUUAAACAUCGCGAAGCUGC